rnacentral:rRNA from 1 species
NNNNNNUAANGAAGAGUUUGAUCCUGGCUUAGAACUNACGCUGGCAGUGCGUCUUAAGCAUGCAAGUCAAACGGAAUGUAGCAAUACAUUCAGUGGCGAACGGGUGAGUAACGCGUGGAUGAUCUACCUACGAGAUGGGGAUAACUACUAGAAAUAGUAGCUAAUACCGAAUAAAGUCAAUUAAUUUGUUAAUUGAUGAAAGGAAGCCUUUAANCNNNGCUUGUAGAUGAGUUUGCGUCUUAUUAGCUAGUUGGUAGGGUAAAUGCCUACNAAGGCGAUGAUAAGUAACCGGCCUGAGAGGGUGAACGGUCACACUGGAACUGAGAUACGGUCCNNNCUCGUACGGGAGGCAGCAGCUAAGAAUCUUCCGCAAUGGGCGAAAGCCNGAUGGAGCGACACUGCGUGAAUGAAGAAGGUCGAAAGAUUGUAAAAUUCUUUUAUAAAUGAGGAAUAAGCUUUGUAGGAAAUGACAAAGUGAUGACGUUAAUUUAUGAAUAAGCCCCGGCUAAUUACGUGCCANNNNNNNNNGUAAUACGUAANNNNNNNGCGUUGUUCGGGAUUAUUGGGCGUAAAGGGUGAGUAGGCGGAUAUAUAAGUCUAUGCAUAAAAUACCACAGCUCAACUGUGNAGCUAUGUUGGAAACUCUAUAUCUAGAGUCUGAUAGAGGAAGUUAGAAUUUCUGGUGUAAGGGUGGAAUCUGUUGAUAUCAGGAAGAAUACCGGAGGCGAAGGCGAACUUCUGGGUCAAGACUGACGCUGAGUCACGAAAGCGUAGGGAGCAAACAGGAUUAGAUACCCUGGUAGUCUACGCUGUAAACGAUGCACACUUGGUGUUAACUAAAAGUUAGUACCGAAGCUAACGUGUUAAGUGUGCNGCCUGGGGAGUAUGCUCGCAAGAGUGUACGCGAGGAACCUUACCAGGGCUUGACAUAUAUAGGAUAUAGUUAGAGAUAAUUAUUCCCUGUUUGGGGUCUAUAUACAGGUGCUGCAUGGUUGUCGUCAGCUCGUGCUGUGAGGUGUUGGGUUAAGUCCCGCAACGAGCGCAACCCUUGUUAUCUGUUACCAGCAUGUAAUGAUGGGGACUCAGAUAAGACUGCCGGUGAUAAGUCGGAGGAAGGUGAGGAUGACGUCAAAUCAUCAUGGCCCNUAUGUCCUGGGCUACACACGUGCUACAAUGGCCUGUACAAAGCGAAGCGAAACAGUGAUGUGAAGCAAAACGCAUAAAGCAGGNCUCAGUCCGGAUUGAAGUCUGAAACUCGACUUCAUGAAGUUGGAAUCGCUAGUAAUCGUAUAUCAGAAUGAUACGGUGAAUACGUUCACGGGCNUUGUACACACCGCCCGUCACACCACCCGAGUUGAGGAUACCCGAAGCUAUUAUUCUAACCCGUAAGGGAGGAAGGUAUUUAAGGUAUGUU